UACAGAGGGGGCAAGCGUUAUCCGGAAUUAUUGGGCGUAAAGGGCGCGUAGGCGGCCUUGCAAGUGACGGGUGAAACCCCUCGGCUUAACCGAGGAACUGCCUGUCAGACUGUUUGGCUUGAGACCGGGAGAGGUGAGUGGAAUUCCCAGUGUAGCGGUGAAAUGCGUAGAUAUUGGGAGGAACACCAGUGGCGAAGGCGGCUCACUGGACCGGUACUGACGCUGAGGCGCGAAAGCGUGGGUAGCAAACAGG
rnacentral:rRNA from 1 species